rnacentral:rRNA from 1 species
GAUGAACGCUGACGGCAUGCUUAACACAUGCAAGUCGAAGGGAAAGUGCUUCUUGCUCUGUGGUACCCAUGUGGGACGGGUGAGUAACGCGUAAGAAACUUGCCUGCGGGACUGGGAUAACAGCAGGAAACUGCUGAUAUUACACCAUAAGGUCAUUCAGCUGCCUAGCUUAGUGAUGAAAGGUGACGCCUGCGGGGAGCCUUGCGUCCUAUUAGCUAGUUGUUGGGGUAACGGCCCACAAAGACGAAGGUAAGUAGCCGGCCGGAGGGGGAGAGGGCCACAGGGGGAGUGAGAUACGGCACUUACACCUACGGGAGACAGGAGUGGGGAAUAGUGGACAGGGCGGGCAACUCUGAUCGAGCAAUCCUGUGUGCGCGAAGAGCCUUUUCGGAUUGUAAAGUGCUUUCAGCAGGGAAGAAGGAAGUGACGGUACCUGCAGAAGAAGCGCCGGCUAACUACGUG